CCUGACGGUACCAGAGGAAUCAGCAUCGGCUAACUCCGUGCCAGCAGCCGCGGUAAGACGGAGGAUGCAAGCGUUAUCCGGAAUGAUUGGGCGUAAAGCGUCCGCAGGUGGCAGUUCAAGUCUGCUGUCAAAGACCGGGGCUCAACCUCGGAAAGGCAGUGGAAACUGAACAGCUAGAGUAUGGUAGGGGCAAAGGGAAUUCCUGGUGUAGCGGUGAAAUGCGUAGAGUUCUUGAAGAACAUCGGUGGCGAAGGCGCUUUGCUGGACCAUAACUGACACUCAGGGACGAAAGCUAGGGGAGCGAAUGGGAUUAGAUACCCCAGUAGUCA
rnacentral:rRNA from 1 species